rnacentral:misc_RNA from 1 species
AAUUAUAAAGUAAGCAAAUACUACUAACAUUUGAAAAACUAGGUAUCUGAAAGAAGAUCAGUAAGAUCUUAUUGUCAGAACCUUAUACUAGUGUAAACAAAAUGUUAUAUUAUAAAGUAACUAUAAGUACAACAAAAUAAAAAUAAAAUAUUCAUACAUAUAUCACUUUGUAGUAUAUAUACACUCUAAAAAAAAAUCCGUUAAAAUAUCAACGGAGUAACUCCGUUGACAGUAACUCCGUUAAACUCCGUAAAGGAUACAGAUUUAAUUGAUACAAAUUAAGGGAGUAAUCCGUUGUUUUACAACGGAUUACUUCUUUAAAUAUAAUAUAACAGAAUAACUUUGUUAAGUUAACGGAGUUCAAGCGUGUAUAAAGGAGUUCAUAAAUAUUACUUUGAACACUUAAUAUUUAUUUGAAACUAAAAACUUAUUUAAAUUAGUGUAUUCAAUUUUAAUUAGUGAAUAUUAUCAUGUGUCUUUAAGAAUGUCUGUGCUAAUCAAAGUAUGGUCUUCUGAUCGAAUUAUUAAGAAGUUAGUUGCCAUCAAUAACAGUGAAGAAUUUGCUGCAAAAGUGCGUUGCAAGUUUGGUUUGAAAUCAGAUCAACUUGUUAGCUUUGUCUACAAAAAUGAUGGCACUGAAGUUGAUGAAGUUGAUUUUGAAAUAAUAAAACAAUUAGCAGAAUCAAACACAAUUCUCAUUCUACUCAUAGAUGGUCAGCAGUAGACUAAUGCUGUUUCGACAAAUUCAAAUUCACCCUUAAUGUUGCCUUCGAUGCAGCCAAAUCAAACUACAAUAACUUCUAGUAUUACACUCUCAGAAUCUAGUGUUUCUGUUAACAACAGCCAUAUAAUGAAAGGUGCAAAUGAGGCGUUUGUUUCAGCUAAUUCAAUUAAAGCCUUUCUUGCGCAACACCCUGAAUGAGCAACCUCGAUGAAAUUAAAAAGCUUGAUUCAUUAUCUUCUACACGUGUAGAAGAAGUUAAGGCUUCUACAAAGUCAACGUUUUGUUUUUGGCAGAAUUGGGUUCAUUCAACAGAUCAACCUUCAUUAUCCCGACUGAUGGUUAAAUUUCCAAAGUUCAGGAUUAUUCCAGAGCUGAUUGAUAUGGAAUUUCAAUUAAAAUAUUCAGACUGCAUGGUUGAUAUCCUGAAAACCUUUAAUCAGACUGUUGCAGACCCAGUAUUAAAAUAUGCUUCACUGUCAAAUAGUGAUUACAUCAAAGCUCUAGCUAUAAUGGCAUCUAAAAAACAUCAUGAUUGGAAAGCUUAUUAUGCAUGCAAGCUUUUGUGCUCGCUUCUGCGACAAGGGGGAAACAGAAACGUUCUGCUCCAGAAGUAGCCAAUGAAAUCAUUCGGAUAUGCAGUGCUGAGCAUGGACUGCAAGAUGUUGCAGAAAAGUUGGAGUCCCCUUAUCCGGUAAUAUUAAUACAGGGGAUUGAGGGUGAAAAAAUUCUCUCUAUAAAGAUUGCAUUUGAAAAAACUUUGAUUGAAGCCGGCACAUCUAUUGUAGAAGGCAUCGAUCGUUUAUUCAAGAUUUUUUGGUGUUUUAACAUCGAAUACCAGCCAUCAACAAUCAUGUUCUGGCAGUUUAUGCAAGAUAUUUAUGGGCUGCAGUACGGUUCGUUGCCUAAUGGAGUGGUUGAGCUGCGAUCAACACUCUCUAAAUAUGUUUUUACUUAAAUGUAUCAUUUAUUUAUCUUAAUAUACAUGAAGAUUUACAAUUUUGUUA